GAUGAACGCUGGCGGCGUGCCUAAUACAUGCCAGUCGAGCGAACAGACGAGGAGCUUGCUCCUCUGACGUUAGCGGCGGACGGGUGAGUAACACGUGGAUAACCUACCUAUAAGACUGGGAUAACUUCGGGAAACCGGAGCUAAUACCGGAUAAUAUAUUGAACCGCAUGGUUCAAUAGUGAAAGACGGUUUUGCUGUCACUUAUAGAUGGAUCCGCGCCGCAUUAGCUAGUUGGUAAGGUAACGGCUUACCAAGGCAACGAUGCGUAGCCGACCUGAGAGGGUGAUCGGCCACACUGGAGCUGAGACGCGGUCCAGACUCCUACGGGAGGCAGCAGUAGGGAAUCUUCCGCAAUGGGCGAAAGCAUGACGGAGCAACGCCGCGUGAGUGAUGAAGGUCUUCGGAUCGUAAAACUCUGUUAUUAGGGAAGAACAACUGUGUAAGUAACUAUGCACGUCUUGACGGUACCUAAUCAGAAAGCCCCGGCUAACUACGUG
rnacentral:rRNA from 1 species